GAGUUUGAUCAUGGCUCAGAUUGAACGCUGGCGGCAGGCUUAACACAUGCAAGUCGAGCGGGGACUUCGGUCCUAGCGGCGAACGGGUGAGGAAUGCUUGGGAAUCUGCCUAGUAGUGGGGGAUAACGUUUCGAAAGGAACGCUAAUACCGCAUACGCCCUACGGGGGAAAGGGGGGGAUCUUCGGACCUCUCGCUAUUAGAUGAGCCCAAGUCGGAUUAGCUAGUUGGUGAGGUAAAGGCUCACCAAGGCGACGAUCCGUAGCUGGUCUGAGAGGAUGAUCAGCCACACUGGAACUGAGACACGGUCCAGACUCCUACGGGAGGCAGCAGUGGGGAAUAUUGGACAAUGGGCGAAAGCCUGAUCCAGCCAUGCCGCGUGUGUGAAGAAGGCCUUCGGGUUGUAAAGCACUUUAAGCGAGGAGGAAUGGCUCUGGGUUAAUACCCUUGAGCAGUGACGUUACUCGCAGAAUAAGCACCGGCUAACUCUGUGCCAGCAGCCGCGGUAAUACAGAGGGUGCAAGCGUUAAUCGGAAUUACUGGGCGUAAAGCGCGCGUAGGCGGUUACGUAAGUUGGAUGUGAAAUCCCCGGGCUCAACCUGGGAAUUGCAUUCAAAACUGCGUGGCUAGAGUGCGGGAAAGGAAGGU
rnacentral:rRNA from 1 species